GCGAGCGUCGUACAGAGGCAGUACAUCAGCUUCCCAAGCUGAGAACGCGGGUUCGAUUCCCGUCGCUCGCUCCA
rnacentral:tRNA from 1 species